UGAGGAAUAUUGCGCAAUGGAGGAAACUCUGACGCAGCCAUGCCGCGUGCAGGAAGACGGCCCUACGGGUUGUAAACUGCUUUUAUAUAGGAAGAAACCCCGAUACGUGUAUCGGCUUGACGGUACUAUAUGAAUAAGGACCGGCUAACUCCGUGCCAGCAGCCGCGGUAAUACGGAGGGUCCAAGCGUUAUCCGGAUUUAUUAGGUUUAAAGGGUCCGCAGGCGGGAUUUUAAGUCAGUGGUGAAAGCCUACAGCUCAACUGUAGAACUGCCAUUGAUACUGAUAUCCUUGAGUGUGGUUGAAGUGGGCGGAACAUGUCAUGUAGCGGUGAAAUGCAUAGAUAUGACAUAGAACACCAAUUGCGAAGGCAGCUCACUAAGCCAUUACUGACGCUGAGGGACGAAAGCGUGGGGAGCGAACAGG
rnacentral:rRNA from 1 species